GAAUAAAAAAACCAUGUAUUCGAAAUGUACAAGUGCAUUGUAUGAUUCUAGCACUAAUUACUGGUCGGAAACUUUAUAUAGGGUCAACCAAUUGCAAAUUACCAUUGUUGCAAGAAAAUAGUUAACAAUGCGCUUUCAACCCGAUAUCAUCAACUCGUGCUUUCAAAUCGAUCCGCGGCGUACUUCAAAUCUAUUUUUACUUUCAUGGAUCGCGUACGUCGUAGCCGCACUUUAUUCUAUCUCCACAGAAUGGAAUUCAGCGAGGGAAAUUGGAGUGCAAUGCGUAGAUCUACCAAACACCGAGAGCACGAUACAGACAGGUGAUUCCAUCUGCGCUGACGUAAAACUGGCAUCAGUGAUGAGGAUAGGAUGAGAAACAACAAACUGUAGCAAAACCGGUUUCUGGCCGUUAAUGUUACAUUCAUAAGGUAAGCAUGGUAUUCGAAUGAAAUGCAUGUCCUUUACACAAAGUAUCCUGUCCUUUAUCAUUAUCUAAAUACAACUUGAAAGCGUACAUUGGUGAGGUUCCGUGUAACGUCGUAGAAGUUGGCAAGCAAUAUUUGAAGCAAUCGACGUAAUGCAUCACUAUUCAUACUUUUCACUGUUUAUCGCUGCUGAUCAGGAGUUACAAAACCAGGUUGAUUUUCUGCGAUCCGCACAUCCGUCCGGGUUGCUUACGCUGGAUCCUACCCAACAGGAAAGUCUUGACACGAAACUCCCUUUUACUGAGGAAGACUGCAAGAGCCCAGAGCAGAUGAUGAUUGACGAAUCCCAAUCGGUAUUUAAAGUAUUUGACUACUGAGAAAGCUAUUUGAGUUGUUAUCAUAGUACGUGCGUGCAUGCAUAGAACAUCGAUGGUGUUAGGGUAUAAUAAAAAUAGUGACAUUA